UACGAAGGGUGCAAGCGUUACUCGGAAUUACUGGGCGUAAAGCGUGCGUAGGUGGUGAGUUAAGUCCGUUGUGAAAGCCCCGGGCUCAACCUGGGAAUGGCAGUGGAAACUAGGGGACUGGAAUCUGGCAGAGGGGGGUGGAAUGCCGCGUGUAGCAGUGAAAUGCGUAGAGAUGCGGCGGAACACCGAUGGCGAAGGCAGCCCCCUGGGCUGAGAUUGACGCUCAGGCACGAAAGCGUGGGGAGCAAACAGG
rnacentral:rRNA from 1 species